rnacentral:rRNA from 1 species
UACAGAGGUCCCAAGCGUUGUUCGGAUUCACUGGGCGUAAAGGGUGCGUAGGCGGUCGGGUAAGUCUGAUGUGAAAUCUCACAGCUUAACUGUGAAACUGCAUUGGAUACUAUCCGGCUCGAGGAAUGGAGGGGAGACUGGAAUACUUGGUGUAGCAGUGAAAUGCGUAGAUAUCAAGAGGAACACCGGUGGUGUAGACGGCUUUCUGGACCGUAACUGACGCUGAGACACGAAAGCGUGGGUAGCAAACAGG